UGACCUCCAAAUCAGGUAGGAACACCCGCGAACUUAAGCAUAUCAAUAAGCGGAGGA
rnacentral:rRNA from 1 species